UCGUAGUUGCGUCCCAAAAGGGCUUUAUGAAAGAAAUCUGGUACCAAAGAAGGUUUUUCACAUACAAGAUGAAAGUGGAAGAUCUUAUAUGGAAGACUUUAGAAUAACAUUGAUUCUAGUCGAAAAGCAUGACUAGGACUUGCAUGAUCUCAUGAGUUCAGACUCAAAAAAAAUAAAAAAAAAUCAAAAAAAUCAAAAAUCAAAAAUAAAAAAAAUCAAUCAAUCAAAGCCAAAAAUAGGGGAAAAAGAAAGAAGAAAAAAGAAAAAGAAAAAGAAAAGGAGAGGUCAAUGCGAAAACCCGCAAAGGGCGCUUU
rnacentral:lncRNA from 1 species